CGGCGAGUGAAGCGGCAACAGCUCAAAUUUGAAAUCUGGCCCCUAGGGCCCGAGUUGUAAUUUGUAGAGGAUGCUUUUGGUGAGGUGCCGCCCGAGUUCCCUGGAACGGGACGCCACAGAGGGUGAGAGCCCCGUCUGGCUGGCCACCGAGCCUCUGUAAAGCUCCUUCGACGAGUCGAGUAGUUUGGGAAUGCUGCUCAAAAUGGGAGGUAUAUGUCUUCUAAAGCUAAAUAUUGGCCAGAGACCGAUAGCGCACAAGUAGAGUGAUCGAAAGAUGAAAAGCACCUUGAAAAGAGGGUUAAACAGUACGUGAAAUUGUUGAAAGGGAAGCGCUUGUGACCAGACUUGGGCGCGGCGGAUCAUCCGGGGUUCUCCCCGGUGCACUUCGCCGCGUUCAGGCCAGCAUCAGUUCGGCGCGGGGGAAAAAGGCUUCGGGAACGUGGCUGCUCCGGCAGUGUUAUAGCCCGUUGCAUAAUACCCUGCGCUGGACUGAGGACCGCGCAUCUGCAAGGAUGCUGGCGUAAUGGUCACCAGCGACCCGUCUUGAAACACGGACCAAGGAGUCGUCUUCGUAUGCGAGUGUUCGGGUGUCAAACCCCUACGCGUAAUGAAAGUGAACGCAGGUGAGAGCUUCGGCGCAUCAUCGACCGAUCCUGAUGUUCUCGGAUGGAUUUGAGUAAGAGCAUACGGGGCCGGACCCGAAAGAAGGUGAACUAUGCCUGUAUAGGGUGAAGCCAGAGGAAACUCUGGUGGAGGCUCGCAGCGGUUCUGACGUGCAAAUCGAUCGUCAAAUAUGGGCAUGGGGGCGAAAGACUAAUCGAACCUUCUAG
rnacentral:rRNA from 1 species